rnacentral:rRNA from 1 species
UACAGAGGUCUCAAGCGUUGUUCGGAUUCAUUGGGCGUAAAGGGUGUGUAGGUGGCGCGCUAAGUCGGGGUGUGAAAUUUCGGAGCUUAACUCCGAAACUGCAUUCGAUACUGGCGUGCUUGAGGACUGGAGAGGAGACUGGAAUUCAUGGUGUAGCAGUGAAAUGCGUAGAGAUCAUGAGGAAGACCAGUGGCGAAGGCGGGUCUCUGGACAGUUCCUGACACUGAGACACGAAGGCCAGGGGAGCAAAUGGG